UAUUGCACAAUGGGGGAAACCCUGAUGCAGCGACGCCGCGUGAGUGAAGAAGUAUUCCGGUACGUAAAGCUCUAUCAGCAGGGAAGAAAAGGAACUCAAGUUCCCAUGACGGUACCUGACUAAGAAGCCCCGGCUAACUACGUGCCCGCAGCCGCGGUAAUACGUAGGGGGCAAGCGUUAUCCGGAUUUACUGGGUGUAAAGGGAGCGUAGACGGCAGCGCAAGUCUGAAGUGAAAUGCCGGGGCCCAACCCCGGAACUGCUUUGGAAACUGUGCAGCUUGAGUGCGGGAGAGGUAAGUGGAAUUCCUAGUGUAGCGGUGAAAUGCGUAGAUAUUAGGAGGAACACCAGUGGCGAAGGCGGCUUACUGGACCGUAACUGACGUUGAGGCUCGAAAGCGUGGGGAGCAAACAGG
rnacentral:rRNA from 1 species